UACAGGGGGUGCAAACGUUGCUCGGAAUCAUUGGGCGUAAAGCGCGCGUAGGCGGUCUGUUAUGUCGGAUGUGAAAGCCCUUGGCUCAACUGAGGAAGUGCAUCCGAAACUGGCAGGCUAGAGUACUAAAGAGGAUCGCGGAAUUCCCGGUGUAGAGGUGAAAUUCGUAGAUAUCGGGAGGAACACCGGUGGCGAAGGCGGCGAUCUGGGUAGAUACUGACGCUGAGGUGCGAAAGCGUGGGGAGCAAACAGG
rnacentral:rRNA from 1 species